UACGUAGGGUGCAAGCGUUGUCCGGAAUUAUUGGGCGUAAAGAGCUCGUAGGCGGUCUGUCGCGUCGGUCGUGAAAACUUGGGGCUUAACCCUGAGCUUGCGGUCGAUACGGGCAUGACUGGAGUUCGGCAGGGGAGACUGGAAUUCCUGGUGUAGCGGUGAAAUGCGCAGAUAUCAGGAGGAACACCGGUGGCGAAGGCGGGUCUCUGGGCCGAUACUGACGCUGAGGAGCGAAAGCGUGGGGAGCAAACAGG
rnacentral:rRNA from 1 species